CAUACAACCACCGAAGUUAAGCGAGGAUGAACCUGGUCAGUACUUAGAUGGGUGACCGCUUGGGAAUACCAGGUGUUGUAAG